rnacentral:rRNA from 1 species
AGAGUUUGAUCAUGGCUCAGAACGUACGCUGGCGGCACGCCUAAUACAUGCAAGUCGAACGAAGUAGCAAUACUUAGUGGCAGACGGGUGAGUAACAUGUAGGUAUCUUCCCUUUGGUGAGGAAUAACACGAGGAAACUUGUGCUAAUACCUCAUAAGUCUUUACGGAGAAAGCUUUAUGCGCCAAUGGAUGAGCCUGCACUUGAUUAGUUUGUUGGUGGGGUAAUGGCCUACCAAGACAAUGAUCAAUAGCUGAUUUGAGAGGAUGAUCAGCCACAUUGGGACUGAGACACGGCCCAAACUCCUACGGGAGGCAGCAGUAGGGAAUCUUGCACAAUGGGGGAAACCCUGAUGCAGCGAUGCCGCGUGAGUGAAGAAGGCCUUUGGGUUGUAAAGCUCUUUCGUCGGGGAAGAAAAUGACUGUACCCGAAUAAGAAGGUCCGGCUAACUUCGUGCCAGCAGCCGCGGUAAUACGAAGGGACCUAGCGUAGUUCGGAAUUACUGGGCUUAAAGAGUUCGUAGGUGGUUAAAAAAGUUGGUGGUGAAAUCCCAGAGCUUAACUCUGGAACUGCCAUCAAAACUUUUUAGCUAGAGUAUGAUAGAGGAAAGCAGAAUUUCUAGUGUAGAGGUGAAAUUCGUAGAUAUUAGAAAGAAUACCAAUUGCGAAGGCAGCUUUCUGGAUCAUUACUGACACUGAGGAACGAAAGCAUGGGUAGCGAAGAGGAUUAGAUACCCUCGUAGUCCAUGCCGUAAACGAUGUGUGUUAGACGUUGGAAAUUUAUUUUCAGUGUCGCAGCGAAAGCAAUAAACACACCGCCUGGGGAGUACGACCGCAAGGUUAAAACUCAAAUGAAUUGACGGGGACCCGCACAAGUAGUGGAGCAUGUGGUUUAAUUCGAAGAUACGCGCAGAACCUUACCAACACUUGACAUGUUCGUCGCGACUUUAAGAGAUUAAAGUUUUCGGUUCGGCCGGACGAAACACAGGUGCUGCAUGGCUGUCGUCAGCUCGUGUCGUGAGAUGUUGGGUUAAGUCCCGCAACGAGCGCAACCCUCACUUUUAGUUGCCAUCAUUUAGUUGGGCACUCUGAAAGAACUGCCAGUGAUAAGCUGGAGGAAGGUGGGGAUGACGUCAAGUCCUCAUGGCCCUUACGUGUUGGGCUACACACGUGCUACAAUGGCAUUUACAAUAGGAAGCAAAACGGCGACGUUAAGCAAAUCCUAAAAAAAUGCCUCAGUUCGGAUUGUACUCUGCAACUCGAGUACAUGAAGCUGGAAUUACUAGUAAUCGCGGAUCAGCGCGCCGCGGUGAAUACGUUCCCGGGUCUUGUACACACCGCCCGUCACACCAUGGGAGUUGGUUCUACCUUAAGGCAAAGGUUAAAAACUUUGACCACGGUAUAGUCAGCGACUGGGGUGAAGUCGUAACAAGGUAGCCGUAGGGGAACCUGCGGCUG